CCCUUAGACGUUCUGGGCCGCACGCGCGCUACACUGACGAAGGCAACGAGCUUUCCUUUACCGAAAGGUACGGGUAAUCUUUUGAAACUUCGUCGUGCUGGGGAUAGAUUCUUGCAAUUUUUGAUCUUAAACGAGGAAUGCCUAGUAAGCGCAAGUCAUCAACUUGCGUUGAUUACGUCCCUGCCCUUUGUACACACCGCCCGUCGCUACUACCGAUUGAAUGGUUUAGUGAGGCCUUCGGAUCCGCGACUCGUUUGUGGAGAAGUUGGACAAACUCAGUCAUUUAGAGGAAGUAAAAGUCGUAACA
rnacentral:rRNA from 1 species